AGUUGCCGUGCCGCUGCUGCUGUUAUUCCUCUUCGCCUCCAUUUCUCUUCUUCUUCUAGCAUCUCUCUUGCCCCGUUCUCCAAGUGUGCGGGUGUGCGUGUGCUUGUCCUUUCCACUGGGUGUGCGCGUGCGUGGUUGGGUCCGCGUUGGAUCUCAUUGCUCGGUAGAGCACCACAACCUCCUCGCCGUUCUUCUUGUUUUGUCUUUUCUUGCUCUCUUCGCAACACCUCCUCACGCGACGGCGCACGUGAAGCUGUGCGGUCGUGCUUUCCCUCGGCUGUUUGUGUGUGUAUGUGUGUGUGCACCGCCCGCCUAGCCGCAUCUCGUCAGCCUCCCUGCUUCGUCUUCCUCUCUUCUUCUCCCACGCACACAUCCGUCGAAUCGGCCCCCGCGAAGCCCUUCAUAGACCCGCGAAACCUCACCUAACGAAAAGCGAGCCAUGGAGCACUCCGUAUCGAGCCGCUCUCCCAGCGGGCAGUGGUACCCGCAGCAGCAGCCACCAGCCUUCCACAGAAACAAUUCCCAACAGCAACUGCAGUGGAGCCCCGCGUCGGGCACAGCGACACCGAUGGUGAUGGUGGGCGGCGUCCAGCCCACAGCGGUGCCCGCCGGCACUGGUUCUGCCAUGCUGGGCAACUCGGGCAUGCUAAGCAGCGGCUCGGCGAACCUUUGUGGGCAGCCGCAUCUGCACUCUGGCAUGACACCACAGCAGCAGAUGAUGAUUAUGCAGAGCAUGUACACGCCGCAGAGCCAGUGUUGUGCCCCCUGCUGCGGCACGCAAGAGUGCAGCUUUUGCCCGCGGCCUGGCGAGCCGGUCGAUCCGUUCUGCUGCACGCCAAGGCGGCCGGAUCAGGGGCCGAGAUGGUGGGAGAGUAUCUACAAGUACUUCGACUGGACCUUCUUCCUCGCCUGCAUCCUGUGCGUGCUCACGAUCGUCGGCUUUGCGAUGGUGAUGGUGACGAGGAAUCAGGACAACAUUUUCGCCGCCUUCGGCGUGCACAACGCCACCGCUCUUGACGCAGCAAUGAUGCCCUACAUCCGCUGGAUGAACACUAAACCAACGAUCUUGAUCGACGGCAGCAGCGGCGUCCCGUCGAACGCCGUGGAGGCAGUCGAGACGGCCCUCUUGGCCUCGUCAGAGUACGCCGUUGAAGCCACGGCGUCGGAGUCAAGCAUCCCCGCGCCCAUCUUGGUCCCAGCGCACAACUGCACGCGGCGCAGGCUGUUCGGCAGCUUUGGUGAGCUGUGUAUGGAGGACAACAUGUACGCGAACACGUUCGCCGUGCAGCUGAGCUUCUGGAACGACGCGCGCGACACGCUGUGGAUUCUGGCGAUGGUGUACAGCUUCUUGACGGUGUUGUACGCGGUGCUGAUCAAUGUGCGCCGGCAUGCGUCGUGUGCCAGCGUAGAAGGCGCGCGCGGGUCGUCGUUCAUGCUGCCGUCCAUCACCCCACAGCAGCAAGAGGAGUUUGUGAAGAUGACGCCGCAGCAGCAGCAGGCCUUCAUCCAGGAAUUCCAGCAGCAGGUGGCGACGGUGCAGCAGCAGAACCCUUCCGCCGUAUUCCCGUCGCAGCAGCCGCCAGGCGUUGGCUGCUGCGGCUCCGACAGGGGCAUCGAGUUCUACGAGACGCCCUUCUACGAAUUUGUGCGCUUCGCGUGGCUGUUCUCCGGGCUCACGACGUUUGCGUGGACGUGCAACCUCUUUAUAUCCUUCUGGUCCUUCUCCUACUUCUAUAUUCGCGAAACCACGGGCCCGCUGAACGCCUUCUGGACCGUCUACACGCGCAAGAUGGAGGCCACGCUCAUCGUUGUGGCCGUCUUCCUCGCGUGGCCGCUCUGCAACUUUGUGCUGGAGCUGGUCGUUUUGGUCGCCCUGGUGCUCCCGUGGCUCGUCAUCCGCUCCACCUGGAAGCGGGGCAUCCAGAUGUACCGUCCAGCCCUGCCGCCCUCGCAGCUGCCCGCCUACAUUCGUGCUGACAUGUUCUUCAUGGACUUCCAGGAUGUCAAGCGGCUUGGGUUCUCGCGAUUGGCGUGGAUCAUCCUGACCGACUCCGAGAAGCCCUUCUUCGAAGGCUGUGAGGACCCCACGGUCGACAAGGAUCCCGCCAUGACGCAACUGAUGCAGCAACGCAUGCAGUGGCGGCAGAUGAUGGCGUCCAUGCUGCCUCCGUGGAUACAGCAGCAGCAGCAGAUGUCUGUGAUGAGUCCCGGUGGCGCGGGCGUGAUGAUGCCAGGGCAGGUGGCAACACAGCAACGGCAGUUUGACUUCAGUGGGGCGGCGACCCCGCCGGCCAACUCGCUGAUGCAGUCGCCGGCGCAGUACCCUGUCGAGGAUGGCGAGCACAGGUCUCACAAACGACGCCGCCAUCACAGCACGCACGAUCGCCGGCACGCCGACCCCCUAGGGGCGGCGUCGAUGGAGCAGACUUCGGCGGGGCUCGGUGCCGCCGGCAAGGAAAACUCGACCCGCCACCGUCACCGUCGUCACAGCCACCACCGCAGCCACAGCCGCAGCAGAAGCAGAAGCAGGGGUGUCUUCGACGGUGGCGUGUCGCAGCCGCCGGUUUCGGACGCUGCCGUGGAAAACGGUGCCGACCACACCGCCGAUGGGGCGUCUCGGCGUCGCCAUCGUCGUAGCCACAGCCACAGUCACAGCAGGGCCGCCGCUGGCGACGACCCGAGUGCGUUGGUUGUUGCUGCGCCCCGCAGCACGGGUGACGCGGUGCAGAACGGUGGCGCGGCGGCAGCGGCCGACUUAGACGCCCUCAUGCAGCUUUAGCCAAGCUCUGUGAUGAGCACGCAUGGACGCAUGACGAGUAGCGCUGCAUUCCUACAUGUUGUGUUUGUCUCGGCCCUCGUGUGUGUUGCCGAGCCUGCAUGACGCGAAACCCCUCCGCCCCUUCGCUACUUUGGAUACCGCCGGCGUGGCUUCCAUCGCUCAUGCGGAUGAUCGUAACAACGAAAGAGCGUACGCCUAGAGCACAUAAACUAUGUGAGCGGGGUGGGUGCGUGCACGCACCGCUAGAGCUCUAGAGGGGGAGAGAAAGGGGGUGUUGGGUCGGAUCAGAUUGGAGAGAGGUGCAGAGGAGAGGUGAUCGACAAGACGAAAGCGGUUGUGUGUGUGCGCGCGCGCAGCAGCAGCAGCAGCAGCAGCAGAGGCCAACAACGGCGAUCAAAAACCAUUCUUGGCGUCGCGCACAACCGCACACCCUUCUUCUCUCAUGCUCCUUGUGUUCCACAGCCGCCCUCCCCCCGCCCCAUCUCUGUCUGUCCGCCUCCCUCCCUUCCGUUGGACGCCCAUUCUCUCUCCCAACCCCACGUGGGGUGGUCGUCGUUAACUUUUCAGGCUUUCGUUCCAGUUGAUGCCCGCAUUUUCCGCCGUGCUUCGAACUGCUGCCGCUGCUCAGUGUACACGGGUUUGUGCGUGCACGGCCUCUGCGCGGGAUGGAGGCGAAGGACGAGGGAAAGAGGAGCGUGACAGAUUUCCGUCAAUAGUGAUGUGCAUCGCACAGAUGCAGCACCUGCUGGAGAGCACACUUUCUCUCACAGAAUGCAUGCAAAGGGAGUGCAUGGGGAGAGGGGGGCGACUGUCUACACGUGCACCCAAGCUCCCCCUGAUGCCCCUCCCCUUUCUGAUUCUCAGUAGAAAUCAGGGCUCGAACCCCCACACGCACACACACACAACGAAAUGCGGAGAACUCAACGGAUGUCUCUCCUCAGCACCCCAUCCUCUACCCUCCUCUUGUGUGUCCGCGUGCUCACGCUUGGCUGCUAAGUCACGCAGCCAAUGCAAAUACAUAAGACGGAAGGACGGGUGCGCGUGUGCGUGUGUGUGUGCGAAGGGGCAGACAACUUGAAGGCGGUGAUGAUGCGCAUGAUGCUGUUAUAGAGCCGUAAUAGAUGGGACGUAGACGUACGCAGAGAGAAGCGGGAGCGAUCGACAGCCAGAGAGAGACGCGCGUAGGCGGGAAGAGGGCGGGAGGCGGGGCAUGAGAGGGGAGCCAACGCCAGCGACUAUAUCAAAAAGUUUCUUUGCCCUCCCCUCUCUCCCCCAUCACACACACACGCACACGCACACGCACAGGAGCGGUGCCUUCGCGCAUACCCUUACUCCACCCUCCGUUCCGCUUCAGCGAUGCGCGUGCGAUUCGCUUUUUCGCUGUUGUUGUUUUUGUUGUUGUUUUUUCUUCCUCUUAUUCGCUCGAAGCUUUUCAAUGACGCUAACGAUUCCGGCGUUGGUAACCGGCCACCAGCAUCCCAGCUACGGCGACGACGUCCAACACCACCACAAUGCCCCUCCUCCUCCUCCUCCCUCUCUCCGAAGGUUCGGUACACGAUGCGGGCACGCUUGUGGGGGGAGGGAGAGAAGGGGGAGAGAAGGACGGGAGGACGAUAUUUGUGGCACCAGUGAUGUCCGUUGCACGCGUGAGCAACGGUGUGCGGAGGCGCUGAGUGUCACGUACACAUCUGUGUCUGCCUUUGAGCGUUUCUUUCUUGACUUUCUGUGUUGUUGGUUGAGAGGAAGAAGAGGGGAGGGUGGAUGGGUGUGUGUGUGGGGGGGGAGGGGCCACCAUUGGCGCGUGUCUUUGGUGGCCCCUCUCUCUGUCUCCUUUGCAUCCUCGGCCUCUGUCGAUUGUGUGGGGUGGCGUGUGCGUGUGCGGGCACACACACACACACACUUCCCCCCCUCCGCCCUCACGCUCCGCUUAGGCUCGUGUGUUGUCCGUCGCCAUUUUUUUCUUUGUUUCUUCCACGCCCUCGGCCCUUCUUUUCACAAGCGCCCCGCCCCCUCCCUCCGCCCCUCCCUUCUUCCCUCAUGACGGCGUUUCUGGGCGGGGGCCGGGGCCGGGGCGGCUUGACGUUCUCUCUUAUGCUGAUUAGUG
rnacentral:misc_RNA from 1 species